UGUCGCUCUCCAUUAAUGUGUUGAGGGCCUGGUGUCAGGAGGCAUUUGAUAGUUAAUUCAGGCUGGCUAUGUGCUGAAAGCUCAGAUGCCGAACUCAAUUCUAGCAGUUAGAUCUUUUGAAUAUCUUCCUGCUGUGACACUCAGCUAACUCUGCAUCUUCAUCUCAAAUGAUGAUUUCCAGUUUGCCGGGCAAGUAUGUGUUGACUCAGGACGUGGUGGAACGUACCAGUCCUUGAGACUGGUGGUUAGAGAAUCGGAACAGGAGGCUUAGUGUGUGUUUAUGAGACCUUUUACCAUUGUACGUCUUCAAGCACUUGACUGGCAUGACAGUUAAAAGUUAUGAUGAAUUAAAAGUUAUGACAGUUAAAAGUUAAAAGUCAUGAUGGCUUUAAUUCAGGAACAAGAAAUUCUGUCUCUGAAAUUCUUGUUCUGAUCUUAGGGCAUUCGAAUAGGAUCAAAAUUCUCAAGAUAUGAAAUUUGACCCACU
rnacentral:lncRNA from 1 species